rnacentral:lncRNA from 1 species
CCCCAUGUCCCCAGAGAACACAAACCCCCACUGAUGCCAGGGUGCCACAUCCAUGUGCAGGGGACAAGUCCUUUACUUGCCAAGGGCUAAGGCCACAUUUUGAACAGGGGUGUGCAGGUGUCCCCCCAUCCCCACACCCACACCCACCCGUGUCCUGGAGUGUGGAUUGAGGUGUGGGACCCCCCUGAGUGGGACCCCCCCUGUGUUAAGGCCACUGGGAAGUUUGGGGUGUUCCUGGGGUGGGCUCAGACGGUCACCCCUCAUCUCCAGCCCACAGGGACCCCCAGGAUGUCCCUGGAGGAUGCAGAGCAGGGUUUUGGGGGGCUGCAGGCGUGGGGACCCCCAGGCACGGGGUGCUAGAGGAGGGUGCAGUCCAAAUCCGGCCUCUGGCGCCGCCGCUCCGCCUGUGGGGACAGGGACAGGGACAGGGCUGAGCUCUGGGGGGACGCACAGAGACCCCCAGGGCCAGCAGCACCCCCCGGUACCUGCGCUGGGAGCAGCUGAGGAGGAGCAGGGCGAUGAGGAUGAUGGUGAGGAUGAGGAUGGUGCUGCUGGUACUCCUCCUGCUGCAGCCGGGGGUCCGGGGGGGCCGCGCUGGCCCCGUCCUUGCCCGGGGGGUGGCUGAGGUGGAACUCGGUGUCACAGAAGCAGCUGUCCCCAUCCACGCUGUGCAGGCUCUCCCACACCACCCCCUGCUCCUGCAGGAAGCCCUGGUCGGUCACCAGCAGGUAGAGGUGGCCCUGGGCACAAGGGACAGUGCCACAGACAUGUUCAAUGAAAAAUCCUUUUACUAGGAUAUUUUCUCCUGAGAGGCUUCAGGAAUGAAAUGUAAACAAUGAUUAUCUGCUGCUGUGGGAUGCAACAGGUGCAUCUGUGAUUGGUCUCAUGUGGAUGUUUUUAAUUAAUGGCCAAUCGCAGUCCGGCUGUCUCGGACUCUCUGAGAGUCACGAGAUUUUAUUAUCAUUCCAUUCCUUUGUAUUCCUUUCUGAUGAAAUCCUUUUUUCUAUUCUUUAGUAUAGUUAUAAUCUUAUAAUAUAAUAUAAUAUAAUACAAUAUAAUGUAAUGCAAUGCAAUGCAAUGUAAUAUAAU